GACGAACGCUGGCGGCGUGCUUAACACAUGCAAGUCGAACGCUGAAGCCUGGCUUUUGUUGGGUGGAUGAGUGGCGAACGGGUGAGUAACACGUGAGUAACCUGCCCUCUUCUUUGGGAUAACGCCCGGAAACGGGUGCUAAUACUGGAUAUUCACUUGCCUUCGCAUGGGGGUGGGUGGAAAGGGUUUUUUCUGGUGGGGGAUGGGCUCGCGGCCUAUCAGCUUGUUGGUGGGGUGAUGGCUUACCAAGGCUUUGACGGGUAGCCGGCCUGAGAGGGUGACCGGUCACAUUGGGACUGAGAUACGGCCCAGACUCCUACGGGAGGCAGCAGUGGGGAAUAUUGCACAAUGGGCGCAAGCCUGAUGCAGCGACGCCGCGUGAGGGAUGGAGGCCUUCGGGUUGUGAACCUCUUUCGCUCAUGGUCAAGCCGCAACUCAUGGUUGUGGUGAGGGUAGUGGGUAAAGAAGCGCCGGCUAACUACAUGCCAGCAGCCGCGGUAAUACGUAGGGCGCGAGCGUUGUCCGGAAUUAUUGGGCGUAAAGGGCUUGUAGGCGGUUGGUCGCGUCUGCCGUGAAAUCCUCUGGCUUAACUGGGGGCGUGCGGUGGGUACGGGCUGGCUUGAGUGCGGUAGGGGAGACUGGAACUCCUGGUGUAGCGGUGGAAUGCGCAGAUAUCAGGAAGAACACCGGUGGCGAAGGCGGGUCUCUGGGCCGUUACUGACGCUGAGGAGCGAAAGCGUGGGGAGCGAACAGG
rnacentral:rRNA from 1 species